CAGGAAUUGUCUGAUUGUUACCACACUCAUUCUACUCUCCCUCAAUGAGAGCAAUGGUCCCAGUGUUCUAACCCAGCAGCAGCCCCAAGACGGGAUACAUGUGAUAGGACUAUGUGCACCACUACGAUGGUCCUCACCACUAUUGCUGUCAUCCUAUACAGAAAGUUCUCAAACCGAGUCGAACCGCACAAUGUUGAUGAUGCCAAUGAGAAAGAGGUGCCCUACACGAAGAGCAAUGGAGUGGACCCUAAGAAAUGACAACCCUCACAGCAUAUGUAGCUCUAGUCUACAGUCUACAUGGUACAUAAAAGUCAAAUAACAAGUAGCCUACAGAACUGAAUGCUGUCUGAUAUUUCAAGAUGUGGAGAGGAAUGCAAGAGGAGGAGAGGAAGCGAGAGGGAGGGAAAAUGGAACAUGUGGCAGAAGCAGAGAUGCUUUCAAGUACUCACCGCUACGCUGCUCCCACUAAAUGAUUUAGUGGGAGAACAACAAUCCAUCAGCUCUGUGGAAGACAUGAACUGAAGACAGGUCUUCACCUUGAUGGCUACACAUCUGUGUAGUUGGACAGGUCAAAUAUCCUAUAACCUAAACCCCAAAAUGGAUAUGCUACAGACGACAGCAGCAGCUUCAUCUCAGUCAUCUGGUAUUGAUGCAGCUGGCACCAUUAUCUCUCCAGUGUUCAGAGACUGCACAGCGCCAUGAAAGGCAUCCGGAAUUAAUAACAGGCCAGGGCAGUCCAGCUCAACAAGGCCCUUUUUUAUCACAUCUUCAAUCCUCCAUCUGUCCUGCAGAUCCCUCUAAUGUUAUUUCAGCAGAGGACAGUCCCAGGAGGCUUCCCUCCUCAUGCUUGAGGCAGGAGAAUUCAAUUUCUGGGAAUGAAACCUCAACAAAUCACAUCUUGGUGCAGCUGAAUCUACAGUACAACAUCUUGGUUUAUUGUGUGUUUCUUGUUUUGUAGAGUUGGACGUUUCCUUAAGGCUUAAAGUAGGCCUAUGGUCAAUGUAAAACUAGUGGAAAGUGUUUCCGUGCCUCAACAAACAGCCACAAUUAUUUAUUUGAUUGUCAUUUUUGGUCUUUGAGCAAAUAAGGCUAUACAGAUUUGUGUCCAUUGAGUAAAUUAUAAUGGCUUUUAAAGAAGAGGCAGAACUUUAAAAUGAUGCACUUUAAAUGGUAGGCUGUUUUUGGUCAUGUUUUUGGUGACCUAAAUCUUGUUUUUGACUGAAACAAGGUGCUAUUGAUAAGCAAUAUGUUUAAAAUCAAUCGCUUCAACCCAUAAAUAUUUUACCAAAUGUCAGAGAACAUAAAUGUCUUGUAGUGAAGAUGUGUGUGCCAUGGCUACUCAAUCUAAAGAGCAAUGGAAAGAGGCAUCUGUUUUGUACCUCUCUGUCACUCCUCUCCAAUCACAAUGCAUUGUUGUGUGAUGAAAGAAAGUCUGCAAGUGAAUCACCUCUUCCCCUACACCUGUAGCAUCCUGUUGGUCCCAUUGAAGGAGCAACAGUCAGAAAGAGGUGUGUUACUAGUCUGCCUAUGUUCAAAACACAGCUCCAACUUUACUUGACAUUUUUAAAAGCAGCUAGGUGUCACCUUAGUAAAUGUCUGCCUUGAGUCAGAGCCUGGUGAUGAUGGUGGUUACUGGUAGGACGGUUUGUUACAGAAUCGACAUUCCUCUGACAUGUCAUCUUACAACCUGCUUCUUCUCUCUAAAGCAAAAAUGAUGUCUGUUCUUUGCUCUCCCCACCUGAUAAAAAAAAAAUAUAGGAAAAAAUGUAUUUAGUUUGUACAUAUUUUGAUGGCCUUGGUUGUAAUUUUCCCUUGUUGUAGGCUACCUACUCCCAAAUGUUGCAUUGUAUGUACUGUAUGAUGACCAUUACUGCAUUACCACCCUUCAACAUGUAACA